AUACAGUAUAGUGCACUACUUAGGCACCCUAUUCCCUAUAUACAGUAUAGUGCACUACUUAGGCACCCUAUUCCCUAUAUAAAGUAUAGUGCACUGCUUAGGCACCCUAUUCCCUAUAUACAGUAUAGUGCACUACUUAGGCACCCUAUUCCCUAUAUACAGUAUAGUGCACUACUUAGGCACCCUAUUCCAUAUAUACAGUAUAGUGCACUGCUUAGGCACCCUAUUCCCUAUAUACAGUAUAGUGCACUACUUAGGCACCCUAUUCCCUAUAUACAGUAUAGUGCACUACUUAGGCACCCUAUUCCCUAUAUACAUUAUAGUGCACUACUUAGGCACCCUAUUCCCUAUACACAGUAUAGUGCACUACUUAGGCACCCUAUUCCCUAUAUACAGUAUAGUGCACUACUUAAGCACCCUAUUCCCUAUAUACAGUAUAGUGCACUGCUUAGGCACCCUAUUCCCU
ensembl:lncRNA